ensembl:lncRNA
CAUGUUUUUACUGAAACAGGUUUUUACUGAAACAGGUUUGUUAUUGAAACACGUUUUUACUGAAACAUGUUUUUACUGAAACAGGUUUGUUAUUGAAACAGGUUUUUACUGAAACAGGUUUUUACUGAAACAGGUUUGUUUUUGAAACACGUUUUUACUGAAACAUGUUUUUAUUUUUUACUGAAACAGGUUUGUUAUUGAAAUAGGUUUUUACUGAAAGAGGCUGGCUACUGAAGCAAGUUUUUACUGAAAGAUGUUGUUACGGCCCUGGUCAUAAUGUGUCUUGGUGGCUGUUUCUUGUGUCUGUGUCUUUAAGUCUCUGCAGGUCCCUGAUUGGAUAAGCUGACGGCUGCUGAUUGGUCCCCUGAUCAUGUGGUUGCUUUGAAAAUCUGUUACCAGCAGUUGAGCCACUGACAGCAGCAGCAGACCUGACCCUGGUUUCCAAAACCUGUAUCAUUCUGUUUGAGCUUCUCGUGACUUACCGAGCUUUGUAUAUAGCGUGUACAUUAGUUUUCACUUGUAAAUAGCACUGAAGCAGAAGGGGUGAGCUGCCUUAUUAUUUUUCCUUAUAGUGUUUUCUCCUGUUUAUUUUAGUUAGGUAGUUAGGUGUAGCGCUUGUCUUUUGUUUGGUUUUUGUUUCACAUAGGGUUUUAGACAACACCUCCUUUCCUGACUUAGCUUAUUUUGUUUGUUAUUUUGGCC